rnacentral:tRNA from 1 species
GCCUGGCUGGCUCAGUCAGAAGAGUUUGCGACUCUGGAUCUCAGGGUCAUGAGUUCAAGUCCCAUGUUGGGUG